GGUCAUAGCUUAGUGGUGUAGCAUCUACCUGGGAUGCAGGAGGUCCCAGGUUCAAUCUUGUUCAUAUCCAGGUUGCGCUA